GUCGAGCGGAGAUUUGAAAAGCUUGCUUUUCAAAUCUUAGCGGCGGACGGGUGAGUAACACGUGGGCAACCUGCCCUUGAGACGGGGAUAACUCCGGGAAACCGGAGCUAAUACCGGAUAACACAUAUCUUCGCAUGAGGAUAUGUUAGAAGGUGGCUUUUAGCUACCACUCAAGGAUGGGCCCGCGGCGCAUUAGCUAGUUGGUGAGGUAACGGCUCACCAAGGCGACGAUGCGUAGCCGACCUGAGAGGGUGAUCGGCCACACUGGGACUGAGACACGGCCCAGACUCCUACGGGAGGCAGCAGUAGGGAAUCUUCCGCAAUGGACGAAAGUCUGACGGAGCAACGCCGCGUGAGUGAUGAAGGUUUUCGGAUCGUAAAGCUCUGUUGUUAGGGAAGAACAAGUACCUGUUAAAUAAGCAGGUACCUUGACGGUACCUAACCAGAAAGCCACGGCUAACUACGUGCCAGCAGCCGCGGUAAUACGUAGGUGGCAAGCGUUGUCCGGAAUUAUUGGGCGUAAAGCGCGCGCAGGCGGUUCCUUAAGUCUGAUGUGAAAGCCCACGGCUCAACCGUGGAGGGUCAUUGGAAACUGGGGAACUUGAGUGCAGAAGAGGAGAGCGGAAUUCCACGUGUAGCGGUGAAAUGCGUAGAGAUGUGGAGGAACACCAGUGGCGAAGGCGGCUCUCUGGUCUGUAACUGACGCUGAGGCGCGAAAGCGUGGGGAGCGAACAGGAUUAGAUACCCUGGUAGUCCACGCCGUAAACGAUGAGUGCUAAGUGUUAGAGGGUUUCCGCCCUUUAGUGCUGCAGCAAACGCAUUAAGCACUCCGCCUGGGGAGUACGGUCGCAAGACUGAAACUCAAGGAAUUGACGGGGACCCGCACAAGCGGUGGAGCAUGUGGUUUAAUUCGAAGCAAC
rnacentral:rRNA from 2 species